rnacentral:lncRNA from 1 species
CCAAAGUCUUAUGAACGACAGAAACAGAAAUAGAACACUGAUGAGGUGAAAUGAAAGAUUACAUAUUUAUUUCUACAACUGCUAUGUAAUUAUUAUAUUUCGAUAAAACAUGUACAUGUUCUAUAAAGCAGUGAAUACCAUACCAACUUUCUGUAUAUCAUUAUGUGUGUUUGUGUUGCUAUUUAAGAUCGGAUUUAAUUGUCAGCAUUGUUUGGUUUCUCAAAAUUUCAAUAAAUCUUACUUAAGUUA